AAAUGGGGGGAAAAUGGGGAAAAUUGGUGAAAAAACGGGGAAAAUCGGGCAAAAAAUGGGGAAAAAAUGGGAAAAAAUGGUUUAUACCGGUCCAUACUGGUCCAUACUGGUUUAUACUGGUCCAUACUGGUCCAUACCGGUCCAUACUGGUUUAUACUGGUCCAGACUGGUUUAUACUGGUCCAUACUGGUCCAUACUGGUUUAUACUGGUCCAUACUGGUCCAUACUGGUCCAUACUGGUUUAUACUGGUUUAUACUGGCCCAUACUGGUCCAUACUGGUUUAUACUGGUUUAUACUGGUCCAUACUGGUUUAUACUGGUCCAUACUGGUCCAUACUGGUUUAUACUGGUCCAUACUGGUCCAUACUGGUUUAUACUGGUCCAUACUGGUCCAUACCGGUCCAUACCGGUCCGUACCGGUCCAUACUGGUCCAUACUGGUCCAUACUGGUUUAUACUGGUUCCAGAGGUGCUGGCGGCGCUGGGCCCCGCCCAGGUGGGGGAGGGGCUGCUGGAGGCGCUGCAGCUCGGGCUGCGAUUGGCCGAGAGCGGCGACAGCGACGCCACGCGGGUCACUUUGGCGCUGCUCUCGGCCGUCUCGGAGCUCCUGGGGGAGGGGACGGCGCCGCUGCUGCCCCAGGCGCUGCCGCUCCUGCAGGGGGCGCUGCGCCCCCCGCCGCCGCCGCCCCCCUCCGACGCCCCUGAUUGGCUGCUGGGUUUCCAUGACGAUGAGGAGGGGGCGGAGCCAAUGGAGGACGAGGAGUGGGCGGGGCCUGAGCUGUGAGUGGGCGUGGCCUUGGCAGGGUGGGCGUGGCCUGGGCCGGGUGGGCGUGGCCUGGGGCUAAAGGGGGCGUGGCCUAAUGCCCAUUUAUGGUCAUGCCACGCCCCCUCGCAGGGCGGAAGUGGGCGGAGCUUUCCCCGGAUUGGCCGAGGCGGCGCUGGGGGCGCUGGGGGAGCUGGCGGAGAACUGCGGGUAACUGGUUUAUACUGGUUUGUACUGGGAAUGGGUCUGGGGUUACUGGUUUGAACUGGGAAUGGGUUUGGGGUUACUGGUUUGUACUGGGAAUGGGUUUGGGGUUACUGGUUUGUACUGGGAAUGGGUU
rnacentral:lncRNA from 1 species